rnacentral:tRNA from 1 species
AGCUUUAUAUUCAUAAUAAUGAUAUUAGACUGCAAUUCUGAAGGAGUAAAGAAUAAUUACUAAAGCUUA